rnacentral:lncRNA from 1 species
UGAGGUGGCUUCCGGCCGCCAGGCGAGACUCCGCGGGAAAACUCCCUGCUAGAGAGACUAGGAGAUUUGGGGCUGCGGCCGUUUCCUCCGGAGCACCCACGGGACUGUGUGCUGGGGUCCCUCCACCGGCUGUGUCCUUUAUUCUUCUUUCUCACCCAACGAUUUACCUGAACGGUUAUAAAGUGCACGUUAUUUCCCUAAGGUCCUUCUUACUGAUGUGUUGCUCUUCUUCAUGGCUCGUGAAAACUAUUAGAGUCAUCCAAGGGUGGGAAGAGAGAUCAGCAACGUUAACUGGGUGUCAAGAAAACAUACCGAGAUUGAAGCCAUCCACUUCUGCAGGAACACCGAAAAGAAAGCUUACAAUCUGAAGGUGUCCGUUCCUACACUGGUCAGACCACUGUCCUUGGGGCAGCUGGGGUCUUUGGGACCCUCCACCGGGCUCGCCGGUCCGUCGGACUUUUGGCUGAGAUCCGUGUCAGACUCCUCCGAAUAGUCGUCUGUUGGCAUCGAGGGCUGAACCCCUGAGGUGCUGCAUGAACUUGAGGUAACCGUUGAAGAUGAGGAGAGAGGAGGAAAAGAAGGGGGCUUCGCUGCCGAAGCCCGGGAGACCACUUGCGGCCAAGACUUCCUGGAGGCGUGGGGGGAAGCGGAGGAGGGGGCGGCGGCCGACGGGGGAGGGGGGCUGUCGUUUGAGUGAGCGGCAGACUGCGAGGUAGAUGCGGUGCUAGGAUCGGGGAAGCAGGCAGAGUGAGGUAAUAAACUAGGGUGCUCUUUGGCGUUU